CAGGCUGACCUCCCUUGUUCCCCUCAGGUGGUUGAACUUGGACUUGAUGCUAAUAGGUUCAGCCUGGAGCAAAGAGCUCCUCUGGAUACUGAGGGUCUGGGACGCUGAGCAGAGGGUAGCAUGUCCAGGGCUGAUCCCACCGCCUCCUAAAAGUUCCUCCAGGCCCACCCCCGACCCCAUGAGGAAGCGCGUCUCCCCGCCCAGGGCUGAUCACAGCACGGCCCGGUCCUGAGACCCGCUCCCUUCCUACAGGGACCCAGGUGGGGAGCCUCGCCCAGCCCAGAGCGGCCCUUCCAUUCCUCGACAGGACACAGAGACGCACAGCCACAAUCAGCUACAAUCGCGCCGCUUCGGAGGGAGGAGGCGCCGGGAAGCGUGAGUCACCGGCCGCUUCCAAUGAGGGCGCGGGGGCCCCUCGGCUCGCGUUUGAAUCGCAGGCCGGAGAAGCUGCCAGAACCCGAGACAAAGCGCGCGGGGUGGCCUUCCUUUUCCGGCUCGUCUCCCCGAUCCUGUGGCACCCCGACCCGAAGGGCGCCCCCGAGCUCAGCCCCGACGGACGCCAGCCGGGAAGCGGCCUCAGACCGCCCCGGUUCACGCAGCCUGGACGGGACCGGUGUGCCUGGAACGCCCGCGCUGGCCAUGCCCUCCCCUCGGCGCCGGGCUGCACGGAGGCUGCGCUCCACUCCGAAGAGCCAGCCAGACACCGUCCGCCAAACUCCGCGGAACACUGAGCUGUGGGUGGAAGAGCCGGGGCGAGCGGCUUGGAGACGCGGCUCUCCCUGCAGAGCGCACGCGGCCCUCCCAGGCAGGGCGUUCCAGAGGGUCCCGCGGGCCUUGACAGUGAAACAGUGUCCACGGCUCUGAAACUCCGGAAAUGCCAGGCCGCUAACGCUCCUUAAAAGUAAUUUCCAUCUCCAGAUAGUCCAGUAGCGCUUCGCCUGUGCAGAUGAUGUGGCUCACAGUCUCCGCUAUCUCGGAAAUGCAGCUGAGAGAUCUGGGAGGAAAGAAUGACUACUUCUAAAAAUUUAAAGUGCAAGUACCCCAUUCAUGGAUUAACGUCUGCAGACUUUGCUCAGCGUGCCAUUUAGCAUCUAACUGCAUUUUAGAUGCCCUUACUUAGCUGUUCCUUCUUAAACAAGGAGCUGUGAACAAUUCUCACCAUUCAGUUCAACGAAUACUGGUAUUUGAGAGUCCAUACUAGCGGCUGAAGACGGGAAGGGAAAACCUUGCCCCAGACGCUCAAAGGCUCAGGAGAAAUGGACACGGACAACAGGGAAAUGACAGCAUGA